rnacentral:rRNA from 1 species
UAGGGAAUCUUCCACAAUGGACGCAAGUCUGAUGGAGCAACGCCGCGUGAGUGAAGAAGGUCUUCGGAUCGUAAAGCUCUGUUGUAAGAGAAGAACGUGUGUGAGAGUGGAAAAUUCACACAGUGACGGUAACUUACCAGAAAGGGACGGCUAACUACGUGCCAG